AGCCAUACCACCCUGAACACGCCCGAUCUCAUCUGAUCUCAAAAGCUACGCAGGGUCGGGCCUGGUUAGUACUUGGAUGGAAGAAUGGAUGUUCAAUUUC
rnacentral:rRNA from 1 species